UCAAUUUUAAGAGUUUGAUCCUGGCUCAGGAUUAACGCUAGCGGGAUGCCUAAUACAUGCAAGUCGGACGAAGCACUUGUGCUUAGUGGCGAACGGGUGAGUAACACGUAUCUAACAUACCUUUUAGUGGGGGAUAACUGGUUGAAAAACUAGCUAAUACCGCAUAGGACAUUACUAUCGCAUGAGAAAAUGUUUAAAGUUGCGUUUGCAACGCUUUAAGAUUGAGGUGUGGCAUAUCAGAUAGUUGGUAGGGUAACGGCCUACCAAGUCUAUGACGUGUAGCUGUGCUGAGAGGCAAAACAGCCACAAUGGAACUGAGACACGGUCCAUACUUCUACGGGAGGCAGCAGUAGGGAAUUUUUCACAAUGGGCGCAAGCCUGAUGGAGCAAUCCCGCGUGAACGACGAAGGUUUUUUAAAUUGUAAAGUUCUUUUAUUGGGGACGAAUUGUAAGAAGAGGAAAUGCUUUUUAUUUGACUGUACCCUUUGAAUAAGUAUCGGCUAACUAUGUGCCAGCAGCCGCGGUAAUACAUAGGAUGCAAGCGUUAUCCGGAUUUACUGGGCGUAAAGCGAGCGCAGGCGGAUUUACAAGUCUGGUGUUAAAUAUAGCUGCCCAACAGUUAUAUGCAUUGGAAACUGUAAGUCUAGAGUGCAGUAGAGAGUUUUGGAACUCCAUGUGGAGCGGUGGAAUGCGUAGAUAUAUGGAAGAACACCAGAGGCGAAGGCGAAAACUUAGGCUGUUACUGACGCUUAGGCUCGAAAGUGUGGGGAGCAAAUAGGAUUAGAUACCCUAGUAGUCCACACCGUAAACGAUGGUAAUUAAAUCUUGGUACGGGAUGUAUCAGGAUUGCAGUUAACACAUUAAAUUACCCGCCUGGGUAGUACAUUCGCAAGAAUGAAACUCAAACGGAAUUGACGGGGACCCGCACAAGUGGUGGAGCAUGUUGCUUAAUUCGACGAUACACGUAAAACCUUACCUGGGUUUGACAUCCUCUGCAAAGCUAUAGAGAUAUAGUGGAGGUUAACAGAGUGACAGGUGGUGCAUGGUUGUCGUCAGCUCGUGUCGUGAGAUGUUGGGUUAAGUCCCGCAACGAGCGCAACCCUUAUCGUUAGUUACUUCAUCUAGCGAGACUGCCAGCGUAAGCUGGAGGAAGGUGGGGAUGACGUCAAAUCAUCAUGCCCUUUAUAUCCAGGGCCGCAAACGUGCUACAAUGGUCGGUACAAACUGUUGCCAAUCAGCAAUGAGGAGCUAAUCAGAGAAAGCCGAUCUCAGUUCGGAUCGAGGGCUGCAAUUCGUCCUCGUGAAGUUGGAAUCACUAGUAAUCGCAAAUCAGCCAUGUUGCGGUGAAUACGUUCUCGGGUCUUGUACACACCGCCCGUCAAACUAUGAGAGCUGGUAAUACCUAAAACCGUUAAGCUAACCUCGUGAGGCUUGCGUCUAGGGUAGGACUGGUAAUUGGAGUUAAGUCGUAACAAGGUACCCCUACGGGAAUGUGGGGGUGGAUCACCUCCUUUCU
rnacentral:rRNA from 1 species